rnacentral:rRNA from 1 species
GACGUAGGGGGCCAGCGUUGUUCGGAAUUACUGGGCGUAAAGGGUUCGUAGGCGGUGUAGCAAGUCGGGUGUGAAAUCUCCGGGCUUAACCCAGAGGCUGCUUCCGAAACUGCUGUGCUUGAGUGUGGGAGAGGCGCGUGGAAUUGCAGGUGUAGCGGUGAAAUGCGUAGAUAUCUGCAGGAACACCCGUGGCGAAAGCGGCGCGCUGGACCACUACUGACGCUGAGGAACGAAAGCUAGGGGAGCAAACAGG